rnacentral:rRNA from 1 species
UGGGGGAUAUUGCACAAUGGGCGCAAGCCUGAUGCAGCGACGCCGCGUGGGUGAAGGAGUACCUCGGUACGUAAAGCCCUAUCAGCAGGGAAGAAAAUGACGGUACCUGACUAAGAAGCUCCGGCUAAAUACGUGCCAGCAGCCGCGGUAAUACGUAUGGAGCAAGCGUUAUCCGGAUUUACUGGGUGUAAAGGGAGCGUAGGCGGCAUGGCAAGCCUGAUGUGAAAGGCCGGGGCCCAACCCCGGGACUGCAUUGGGAACUGCCGGGCUGGAGUGCCGGAGGGGCAGGCGGAAUUCCUAGUGUAGCGGUGAAAUGCGUAGAUAUUAGGAGGAACACCAGUGGCGAAGGCGGCCUGCUGGACGGUGACUGACGCUGAGGCUCGAAAGCGUGGGGAGCAAACAGG